UUUUUUGCUGUUCUCCCGGCCCCCCCUGCUGCUAUCGGAUUGAGAUUUCCCCCUGCGAGUCGAACCCCCCCCUGGUGCGGGGGGCGUGGCAUACGGCUCACUAACACGUAGUCCACCUGCCCUGGAGACAUGGACAACCCCGGGAAACUGGGAUUAAUCCGUGAUAGGUCAUCUCAUCUGGAAGGAGAGAUGGCUUAAAGGGGUACGCGGGCUUCUUCCGCGAAUUCGCUCCAGGAUGGGACUGCGUCCGAUCAGGCUGUUGGCGGGGUAAUGGCCCACCAAACCUGUAACCGGUACGGGCCUUGAGAGAGGUGGCCCGGAGAUGGACACUGAGAGAAGGGUCCAGGUCCUACGGGGCGCAACAGGCGCGAAACCUUCGCAAUGCGCGAAAGCGUGACGAGGUUAAUCCGAGUGGCCCCCGCUGAGGGGGUCUUUUGUCAGCUGUAAAUAGGCAGGCGAAUAAGGGGAGGGCAAGCCUGGUGUCCCCCGCCUCGGUAAUACCAGCUCCUCGAGUGGUCGGGGCGAUUAUUGGGCCUAAAGCAUCCGUAGCCGGUUCCGUAGGUCCUCUGUUAAAUCCAACCGCUUAACGGUUGACCUGCAGAGGAUACCGCGGGACUAGGAGGCGGGAGAGGCGGACUGGUACUCCGCGUGUAGGGGUAAAAUCCUUUUGAUCCGCGGAAGACCACCAGUGGCGAAAGGCUGUCCGACAGAACGCGCUCAACUGGCGAGGGAUAGAAACGCUGGGGGAACCAACCGGAUUAGAUACCCGGGG
rnacentral:rRNA from 1 species